rnacentral:misc_RNA from 1 species
GCAAACUUGGUCAUUUAGAGGAAGUAAAAGUCGUAACAAGGUCUCCGUAGGUGAACCUGCGGAGGGAUCAUUAACGAAUGGCCUCUUGACCUUCUACCCUCAAACACUGUGGACCCAGUUGUGCUUCGGCGCUCCGGCGCCGCCUUUAUGCGUCAAGUCGUUUGUGUCUUUGAAUCAAAUCUCAAAACUUUCAACAAAGGAUCUCUUGGCUCUCAGAGACAGGCAAACUUGGUCAUUUAGAGGAAGUAAAAGUCGUAACAAGGUCUCCGUAGGUGAACCUGCGGAGGGAUCAUUAACGAAUGGCCUCUUGACCUUCUACCCUCAAACACUGUGGACCCAGUUGUGCUUCGGCGCUCCGGCGCCGCCUUUAUGCGUCAAGUCGUUUGUGUCUUUGAAUCAAAUCUCAAAACUUUCAACAAAGGAUCUCUUGGCUCUCGCAUCGAUGAAGAACGCAGC